rnacentral:lncRNA from 1 species
AGAUCGUACACGAAACCUCAGGUUGAACUUUUUUCAUAAUAUCUACCAUUCCAAAGCUGGAAUCGAUAAGGAGAAGUACAUCCAAGCGCCGUCCUACAUAUCCCAAUAAAGCGACCACAAUCUCAAAGUCAAUGAAUUUUCCUUUAAAGGUGUCGUCUUGCGCUAUUCAUUAUUUGUUAGAUCUAUACGAGAGUGGAAUGAUCGUCCGCCUAUGAUUGUAUCCAUUGUCUCUAACGAUGGUUUUGACCGCGCUUUGUGUAAUUAGUUUCUUUAUUGCUGUCAAAUAUG